rnacentral:ncRNA from 1 species
UUAAAGGCAAUGAUGGAAAGAGUAGGUAAACAAGCGCUUAAUAGAGAACCCUGACGGUGGAAAUGGGCAAGCAACUGUUACUGAAGAUGGCUCCGGAGCUAAUUUUCUGAAACUUAGUAAGAAAGUUCGUUAAUCGCGUUAAGAUUCCGAGGUGUACAUUUUUAUAAUGUAAACUAGGGUGGUACCGCGAUUUAAAUCGUCCCUUUU